rnacentral:rRNA from 1 species
CAGCCGCCGCGGUAAUACCGGCGGCCCGAGUGGCGGUCACUAUUAUUGGGCUUAAAGCGUCCGUAGCCGGGGUGGGAAGUCCUCCGGGAAAUCUGGCCGCUUAACGGUCAGAAUGCCGGAGGAUACUCCCAGCCUAGGGAGCGGGAGAGGCCGAGGGUAUUCCCGGAGGAGGGGGGAAAUCCUAUAAUCCCGGGAGGACCACCUGUGGGGAAGGCGCUCGGCUGGAACGCGUCCGACGGUGAGGGACGAAGGCCAGGGGAGCAAACCGGAUUAGAUACCCGGGUAGUCCUGGCUGUAAACGAUGCGGACUUUGUGUCGGACAAGCUAUGAGCUUGUCCGGUGCCGGAGGGAAACCGUUAAGUCCGCCGCCUGGGGAGUACGGCCGCAAGGCUGAAACUUAAAGGAAUUGGCGGG